GGGUUGUGAGGUUAAGCGACUAAGCGUACACGGUGGAUGCCCUGGCAGUCAGAGGCGAUGAAGGACGUGCUAAUCUGCGAUAAGCGUCGGUAAGGUGAUAUGAACCGUUAUAACCGGCGAUUUCCGAAUGGGGAAACCCAGUGUGAUUCGUCACACUAUCAUUAACUGAAUCCAUAGGUUAAUGAGGCGAACCGGGGGAACUGAAACAUCUAAGUACCCCGAGGAAAAGAAAUCAACCGAGAUUCCCCCAGUAGCGGCGAGCGAACGGGGAGCAGCCCAGAGCCUGAAUCAGUGUGUGUGUUAGUGGAAGCGUCUGGAAAGGCGCGCGAUACAGGGUGACAGCCCCGUACACAAAAAUACACAUACUGUGAGCUCGAUGAGUAGGGCGGGACACGUGGUAUCCUGUCUGAAUAUGGGGGGGCCAUCCUCCAAGGCUAAAUACUCCUGACUGACCGAUAGUGAACCAGUACCGUGAGGGAAAGGCGAAAAGAACCCCGGCGAGGGGAGUGAAAAAGAACCUGAAACCGUGUACGUACAAGCAGUGGGAGCACAGAGCAAUCUGUGUGACUGCGUACCUUUUGUAUAAUGGGUCAGCGACUUAUAUUCUGUAGCAAGGUUAACCGAAUAGGGGAGCCGAAGGGAAACCGAGUCUUAACUGGGCGUUAAGUUGCAGGGUAUAGACCCGAAACCCGGUGAUCUAGCCAUGGGCAGGUUGAAGGUUGGGUAACACUAACUGGAGGACCGAACCGACUAAUGUUGAAAAAUUAGCGGAUGACUUGUGGCUGGGGGUGAAAGGCCAAUCAAACCGGGAGAUAGCUGGUUCUCCCCGAAAGCUAUUUAGGUAGCGCCUCGUGAAUUCAUCUCCGGGGGUAGAGCACUGUUUCGGCAAGGGGGUCAUCCCGACUUACCAACCCGAUGCAAACUGCGAAUACCGGAGAAUGUUAUCACGGGAGACACACGGCGGGUGCUAACGUCCGUCGUGAAGAGGGAAACAACCCAGACCGCCAGCUAAGGUCCCAAAGUCAUGGUUAAGUGGGAAACGAUGUGGGAAGGCCCAGACAGCCAGGAUGUUGGCUUAGAAGCAGCCAUCAUUUAAAGAAAGCGUAAUAGCUCACUGGUCGAGUCGGCCUGCGCGGAAGAUGUAACGGGGCUAAACCAUGCACCGAAGCUGCGGCAGCGACGCUUAUGCGUUGUUGGGUAGGGGAGCGUUCUGUAAGCCUGUGAAGGUGUACUGUGAGGUAUGCUGGAGGUAUCAGAAGUGCGAAUGCUGACAUAAGUAACGAUAAAGCGGGUGAAAAGCCCGCUCGCCGGAAGACCAAGGGUUCCUGUCCAACGUUAAUCGGGGCAGGGUGAGUCGACCCCUAAGGCGAGGCCGAAAGGCGUAGUCGAUGGGAAACAGGUUAAUAUUCCUGUACUUGGUGUUACUGCGAAGGGGGGACGGAGAAGGCUAUGUUGGCCGGGCGACGGUUGUCCCGGUUUAAGCGUGUAGGCUGGUUUUCCAGGCAAAUCCGGAAAAUCAAGGCUGAGGCGUGAUGACGAGGCACUACGGUGCUGAAGCAACAAAUGCCCUGCUUCCAGGAAAAGCCUCUAAGCAUCAGGUAACAUCAAAUCGUACCCCAAACCGACACAGGUGGUCAGGUAGAGAAUACCAAGGCGCUUGAGAGAACUCGGGUGAAGGAACUAGGCAAAAUGGUGCCGUAACUUCGGGAGAAGGCACGCUGAUAUGUAGGUGAAGUCCCUCGCGGAUGGAGCUGAAAUCAGUCGAAGAUACCAGCUGGCUGCAACUGUUUAUUAAAAACACAGCACUGUGCAAACACGAAAGUGGACGUAUACGGUGUGACGCCUGCCCGGUGCCGGAAGGUUAAUUGAUGGGGUCAGCGCAAGCGAAGCUCUUGAUCGAAGCCCCGGUAAACGGCGGCCGUAACUAUAACGGUCCUAAGGUAGCGAAAUUCCUUGUCGGGUAAGUUCCGACCUGCACGAAUGGCGUAAUGAUGGCCAGGCUGUCUCCACCCGAGACUCAGUGAAAUUGAACUCGCUGUGAAGAUGCAGUGUACCCGCGGCAAGACGGAAAGACCCCGUGAACCUUUACUAUAGCUUGACACUGAACAUUGAGCCUUGAUGUGUAGGAUAGGUGGGAGGCUUGGAAGUGUGGACGCCAGUCUGCAUGGAGCCGACCUUGAAAUACCACCCUUUAAUGUUUGAUGUUCUAACGUUGACCCGUAAUCCGGGUUGCGGACAGUGUCUGGUGGGUAGUUUGACUGGGGCGGUCUCCUCCUAAAGAGUAACGGAGGAGCACGAAGGUUGGCUAAUCCUGGUCGGACAUCAGGAGGUUAGUGCAAUGGCAUAAGCCAGCUUGACUGCGAGCGUGACGGCGCGAGCAGGUGCGAAAGCAGGUCAUAGUGAUCCGGUGGUUCUGAAUGGAAGGGCCAUCGCUCAACGGAUAAAAGGUACUCCGGGGAUAACAGGCUGAUACCGCCCAAGAGUUCAUAUCGACGGCGGUGUUUGGCACCUCGAUGUCGGCUCAUCACAUCCUGGGGCUGAAGUAGGUCCCAAGGGUAUGGCUGUUCGCCAUUUAAAGUGGUACGCGAGCUGGGUUUAGAACGUCGUGAGACAGUUCGGUCCCUAUCUGCCGUGGGCGCUGGAGAACUGAGGGGGGCUGCUCCUAGUACGAGAGGACCGGAGUGGACGCAUCACUGGUGUUCGGGUUGUCAUGCCAAUGGCACUGCCCGGUAGCUAAAUGCGGAAGAGAUAAGUGCUGAAAGCAUCUAAGCACGAAACUUGCCCCGAGAUGAGUUCUCCCUGACUCCUUGAGAGUCCUGAAGGAACGUUGAAGACGACGACGUUGAUAGGCCGGGUGUGUAAGCGCAGCGAUGCGUUGAGCUAACCGGUACUAAUGAACCGUGAGGCUUAACCUUACAACGCCGAAGGUGUUU
rnacentral:rRNA from 1 species